GCUUCUACAGGAGAACGCCGUGCGUUUGAGCUUGAACCUGAUAAGCCUGGCAGAAGCCUGAUGAACCCAGAAUGAGUGAGAUGUGAGACAGAGUCUUGUUCUGUCGUGCAUGCUGGCGUACAGUGCCACAAUCACAGCUCACCGCAGCUUCCAACUUCUGGACUCACAUGAUCCUUCUGCCUCAGACUUCCAAGUACUUGGGACUACAGUCACGAAUCACCACAGCCAGCUUGGAGUGACUUUCUAAGGGAUAUUGAAGCCAUCCAUUGCUUUGUCUUCCAAGUUCAUCAGUGCCUGCACAACAUGGUAACAACAAAGUCAAAGACAUUCCAGACACUCUUCCGGAAAAAGGAAAAGCUAGGAUAGCCACAUAAGAAGGAUCUCCAGGAUGAAAAUAAACAAGAUAAACCAAGUUGCCACCUCCAAGCUCAGCUUCAAUAGCCACAGUUAGGUAUUUGUGGAUUCCAGCAAUUCUAUUUCAACCAUCAAUACGAUCAUAUUCAAAAAGAUGAGGAAGAUGACGAA
rnacentral:lncRNA from 1 species